rnacentral:rRNA from 1 species
GACGAACGCUGGCGGCGUGCCUAACACAUGCAAGUCGAGCGGGGACUUGGGAGCUUGCUCCUGGGUUCUAGCGGCGGACGGGUGAGUAACGCGUGAGCAACCUGCCUCUUACUGGGGGAUAACGCAUCGAAAGAUGUGCUAAUACCGCGUAAGACCACGGUACCGCAUGGUACAGAGGUCAAAGGAGCAAUCCGGUAAGAGAUGGGCUCGCGUCCGAUUAGCUAGUUGGUGAGAUAACGGCCCACCAAGGCGACGAUCGGUAGCCGACCUGUGAGGGUGAUCGGCCACAUUGGAACUGAGAUACGGCCCAGACUCCUACGGGAGGCAGCAGUGGGAAUAUUGGGCAAUGGGGGAAACCCUGACCCAGCAACGCCGCGUGAAGGAAGAAGGCCUUGGGUUGGUAAACGUUCUUUACCUAGGACGAAGGACGUGACGGUA